rnacentral:rRNA from 1 species
CCCGCACAAGCGGUGGAGCAUGUGGUUUAAUUCGACGCAACGCGAAGAACCUUACCUGGGCUUGACAUCCCGAUCGCACCUUAUGGAAACAUAGGGGUCAGUUCGGCUGGAUCGGUGACAGGUGCUGCAUGGCUGUCGUCAGCUCGUGUCGUGAGAUGUUGGGUUAAGUCCCGCAACGAGCGCAACCCUUGUCCUUAGUUGCCAGCAUUCAGUUGGGCACUCUAAGGAGACUGCCGGUGUCAAACCGGAGGAAGGUGGGGAUGACGUCAAGUCCUCAUGGCCCUUAUGUCCAGGGCUACACACGUGCUACAAUGGUUGGUACAACGAGUUGCGAGUCGGUGACGGCGAGCUAAUCUCUUAAAGCCAAUCUCAGUUCGGAUUGUAGGCUGCAACUCGCCUACAUGAAGUCGGAAUCGCUAGUAAUCGCGGAUCAGCACGCCGCGGUGAAUACGUUCCCGGGCCUU